CGGCAACAGCUCAAAUUUGAAAUCUGACUUUUGUCCGAGUUGUAAUUUGCAGAGGAUGCUUCGGCGUUGGGCCCAGGCUAGGUUCCUUGGAACAGGACGUCAUAGAGGGUGAGAACCCCGUCUUCGCCCGGGACUCCUUCGCCAUGUGAAGCUCCUUCGAC
rnacentral:rRNA from 1 species